rnacentral:rRNA from 1 species
AUGGAACAUGAGGCCAUGGAUGACAUGGAAGUAGAUAAUGCAGAGAACGAACAUGAGGAUGUUUCUGACCCUCGAGAUUUGGCAUUACUUAUGCGAUGGCACAUGGGGCUAGAUGAGGAUGAUGGCCCCCCUGAAGACUUCGAGGAUGAAUGUAUGAACGGGCGUGAUAGCGAUGAUGAAAGCCCUGAUCCAAAAGAUGGGGAUGAGGCGUGUGAGGAGGAGGGCGAGGAGGAUUUUGCGGUGGAGGUGGUGGAGGAUGAGGAGGAGGAGGUGGUGGAGGACGACGCCGCUGAGAGGAGGCUGGUUGUUCGUCAGGUUUCUAAGGGUGGGGAUAGACCCUCACGGGUGACAGAGCACCACGAGCUUCCAAGAUGUCCAUAUGUGCAUAGAGACGUGUUGAUUAAACCAAUGGGAGAGAAAAGCUUAGUAAAAGGUGGUGAGAGGCGUCUGCCACGGUCGCCGAGUGGCAUCAUUGGGGGUAUUUGUAGGUUAAAUUGUCCUGGACUGGUCACUUUGCCGAAUGGUAUCAUUGAGCCAGCUUGGUCAUGGGAUCACUACAAACUUGCACCGGAUUUCCUGGAUAUGCAUCAUAGGUUUUAUGAUAACAGAGCCAUGAGAGUGGUCAACGAUUUCUGGGAUUUCUAUACAUGCGUUGAGGGUCAGAAGGAUCGUGCAAAUGUGGUGGUUGAGAAUAUUGCCAAGAAACUAGUCCUCGACAUGCUCUAUGAGGAGCGCGUCUGAAAGAAGACACUGGCAAGGAUAUCACUUACUUCGAGGCAUGGACCAUCAAACAUACCAAAGACAACAAGGACAAGGACCCUCUCCACCCGAAGAUGGACUAGAUCAGCUCUAAAGCCCGGCGGUAGACCGAAUGGCCAGAUGGCGGUUCACCUUGAUUCUGUCAUAACCUCCUUCCUUCCGAGAGUCAACACGCUCCGUGCUAUGAGUACUGGCUCUACUCCUACCGUAGAGCAUCACGUACCACAUUCUGUGAGCAUUAUUGAGGAUAUUCAUACUCAACUUAUUGACACCGAGAAAGAACGAGAUGAAAACCGGGCCAAGCUGAAGGCACAAGAUGAUCUAGUGAAGUCUUUACAACAUAUGGUGGCCAAUCUUUAUUCCAUGCAAGGCCAACCAGUGCCAGAGAUGCCACCGACGCCAGAGUGGAACAUUCUCAACCCAUCACAAGGGUCGAACAAUGUUCCGGUAGUUCCACCUCAAGUUGGUGGAGUUGGGGUAGCAAAGGGAAUGAUGCCUUCUAAUGUUGAUGUUAUCACUCUGGUUGAUGGAGUUGGGGCAGCAAACGAAAUGAUGCCUUCUAAUGUUGAUGUUAUCACUCCGAUCUCCAAAAUCGCGUGA